AUGAGAAACUGAAGUGCCUCCUUCCGGUCAGACCAUUAUGAGAAUUUUAAAGGAACAGGACUAGGAACUGGUUUUGCAGUCCUACUAUGGCUUUCUCCCUUUUGUGUCUUUAGUGUGAAGAAAAAAUACCCUCUUGUAAGUUAAAGAACAGUCACAAUAUGCCACUAUGUUCCCAUUUGAGUCACAAGAAGGAUGUGUCGGUAGUGUGUUAGGCUCAAGCUCACAUGAUCUCCUUUGUCUCCUGAGAUGCUGUUAGCAGAAAAAAAUCUCCACUACUUUGAGAUGAUGAAGUCCCCAUCAGUGAUUUUCCUGUAUACUCUACGGGUCUGUCAUGCUGAGUGCAGAAGGGAAUCUAGCUGUUCUCCAGCUAAAGGAUAAAUCAUCUGGAUUCUUGUUCCGGAGAUCACACAUUGUAUGCAGAGAGGAAAUGCUUUCAGUUCUGCGAGAAGCUAAGAAGGCUGAAAUGUGUUUCUUUGAAAAAGUUCUAGGGCUAUCUAUGUAGUAUCAGCGUUGUCAGGACCUGAUCCAAAGACCAUGAAAAUCAGUAGAAAUAUUCCCACUAACUCUAAGAAGCUUUGAAGGAGGCUUCCUUAAAGCAAGAGCAAGGUCAUAGAAGAAAUAAGAUAAAUAGAAAUGCCGACAUUUAAUAAUAAUAAUGAUAACUUAUGCUUGUUCUGUAUAGACCAAGGUAUUAUGUCUACUUUCUAGCUAGGACUAGUUAAACACUAGAAAGGAAGAAUUAUUUUAUAAAUAUCGCCGUUAUUAUCUAUAUGAUUUAUAUGAGUAUGAAUACUGCAAAAAUAUUAAUGGAAUUAUAUUCAGUGAAAAAUGGCAAAAAAAAAAAUGUAUGAUACAUUCCCAGAAUAAUAUCGACAAGGUCUGCUUGCAACACAAAACUCAGGGUCUUGUUCUACUUGAAAGAUGAAAGAACCUAAUCUGCAUUCUUUCUCUAUAAGAAUACCAAAACUAACAAGUUUAAGUUGGAUUUGCAGACAUUUACCUGGUUUUGGUAGCUUGAUUAAAUGUUUUUAGUAGUACUUGGUCUGUUCAGACUGGAGAAGAGGAUACCAAGGGGAGACCUUAUUGCAGUCUAUAGCUUCUUACUAGGGCAGGUGGAGGAGCAGGCACUAAUCUCUUCUCUGGCAACCAAUGAUAGGACCCGAGGGAGUGGCACAAAGAUGUGCCAGGGAAGGCUGGAUAGCAGGAAAAGGUUCUACACCCAGAGGAAAGUGGAGCACUGGAACAGGCUCACCAGGGAAGCAGUCACAACGCCAAACCUGACAAUAUUCCAGAAACAUUUGGACAACGCCCUCAGGCACACAGUGUGAAUGUUGGGGUUAUCCUGUGCAAGGACAUAAGUUGGCCCCAGUGAUUCUUGUGGGUCCCUUCCAACUCAGGACAUUUUUUUAUUCUGUGAUAACUGAGAAAUACUUGUGACUGCCUACCCAGAAAAAUAGUGAUUUUCUAUCAGUACAUUCAGUUUUAGUACUAUCAAUAAUAAUGUUAAGUUCUUAUAUGCUCUUUUUUUUUUCAUCCAGGAAUAGAAAGUGCCUUAGGAAAAUUCAUCUAAGCUCUGUGUCACAAUAAGACUCAUGAAGUGAUUAAAGCAAGGACAUCAGUGCAAAGAGAGAACUUUUAUGUUCCAGGCUGAUGCUCUAACCAAACAAUCAAUAUUCAUUUUUAGUAAGCUAGGCCCUCACAGUUCAUCCAGGAAUACACAGAAGAUCACAGUGAGUGAUUAAGGUGUGUAUUUCCAAGAAAGGGUCAUUGAGAAACGAAACAAAGAACUCUUCAAGUCUGAGUUUUGAAUAUUUCUAGGGAGGCAAAAAGAGCACACUGGCAACAUCCAUGAGCUCUCCAAAGAUUUUGUGUCUGUUACACAGUAAAUGCUGCAUAAGAAAAGUACUCAAGGCAUUAUGAAGAGAUAUUACCAUAGCAUAUCUUGUUUAGUCUGGAGAAAAGGAGACUGAGGGGAGACCUCUCUACAACUGCCUAAAAGGUGAUUGUAGCAAGAUGUGAGUUGGUUUCUUCUCUGUGGUAGCUAAUGACAAGACCAAAGGGAAAUGGCCUCAGGAUGCACCAGGGGAGAUUUAGAUUGGGUAUUAGGAAACAUUUCUUUAUUGAAAGAGUGGUGAAGCAUUGGAACAGGCUGCCCUGUGGAGUUUCCAUCCCUGGAAGUGUUCAAAAAAAUAUGUAGACACGGCACUUUGGAACACGGUUUUGUAGGCAUGUUGGUAUUGUGUUGAUGGUUGGGCUUGAUGAACUUAGAGGUAUUUUCCAACCUUAAUAAUUCUAUGAUUCUAUGAUAAUAUUUCAGAUUUCUCUUGUUACUGGAGAGUUGGUUGAAUUACCUGUACUUGUCUAUUUUAAUAUGGGUGUAACGAUGCACUCUCUACCUUCUAACAGAAUUGUUGUAUCACCAGUACAGGACAUUUGGUAUGUGGUGAUAGCUUGUAACCAUCAGAUAUUAUGUGUUUUCCAUGUCACCUAACUCAAAUUAAGACUCCUGUGCUUAGAGACAGAUUGUUCCCCUUGAUUCUACAUUAAAAAAAACAACGUGACUGGAUAAACCAGCAGUUUGGGAAAAAAAAGAAUCUUGUGAAUUCCACUGCAAUUUCUGUUAUUUAUUCUGGAAUGUUCACUAUUUUGCUGAAGACCUAUUUUCCCAGCUCUCUGCCACGGCUCAGGAGAAAAACUUUCUAUUCUAAUGAAAAGGUGAAAUCACGGAAGAGAAAGUUUAUGGCCAUAGCCUUGUUCUUACAGACAGGUUAUUUUAAUCAUCAACCAAAGCGUGGAAGCCCCUGCUUGUUACUGCAACCUUCUCCACCUCUGGGAGCAAUGUUCACUGACAUGAAGGCACUUUAUGACAAAACGGUAACAGCUAAUGAGCUACAAGAUAGCAGGCAUUUAAGAUGAAGGCUAGCGUGUAAAGAGCCUGGAGUUCUUUGUCUCUUCUUCCUCUUCAGUUUGCUGAGUUAGUGCUAGAUUUUUCCUGUUUGUCUCUCCAAACUGAUCAACAUGCAGCUAUGCUGCAGCAGUUGUAACACAAUGCCAUUUCCCCAAGUGGAGGUAAUUUAGCAGAUGUAGCAUACUUUCUCCUCUUUUAUAACAAGUGGUUCUGCUACUUGGUUCCCUCCUUGGUUCCACUACCUGCUUGGUUGUGAGAACGUGUGUACGAAUGUAUAUAACCAAAGCAACCAUAAUAUCUUAUCAUUCAUCACAUCGUUAACUGUCUGUAAUAAUAUUUCACUAGUUUCACUUUAAAGUUCAGAAGUAGUCAGAAUCUCAUUAAGAGAUGAGUCAUUUAAUAAAUACAUGAUCCACUUAUGAAAUGAGAGGGAGCAGUAGUGACAGUUCGUGGGUAAGAAGAACAUAGUCUAGAGUUAGGUUUUAAAUGGUGUGUAAAAAGAUUUAAUGUAUUUUUUUAACUCUAACUGUGCAACCUUCUUGAUCUAGAUAUGGCACUUAUUUUUAUGGCCAAAGCAGUUUGGACUCAUGGUAAAAGUCUCAAAUUUAUACUUUAUUUACGAACAUAACUUUAUAGAAUUGUUUAGGUUGGAAGGAAGAUCAAAGAUCAUCCAGUUCCAACAGCUCAGCCAUGGGCAGCGACACCUUCCACUGCAUCAGGUUGCUCAAGGCCUCAUCCAGCCUGGCCUUGAACACCUCCAGGGAUGGGACAUCCAUGACUUCUCUGGGCAACCUGUGCUGGUGCCUCACCACCCUCACAGGACAAAAUUUCUUCCUAAUAUCUAGUCUAAAUCUCCCUCCUUUCAGCUUAAAACCAUAGCCCCUCUUCCUGUCCUUGCAGUCCCUGAUAAAGAAUCCCUCCCCAGCCUUCUUGUAGGCCACCUUUAAGGACUGGAAGGCUGCUAUAAUGUCUCCUCACAGCCCUCUCUUCUCCAGGCUUACCAAUCCCAACUCUCUUAGUGUGUCCUCCUGUGGGAAGUGCUCCGGUCCUCCAAUCAUCUUCAUGGCCUCUUCUGGACCUGAUCCAACAGAUCCCUGUUCUUCCUCUGCUAAAAUCUCCAGACCUGAACACAGGGCUCCAGGUGAGUCUACAAGAGCAGGUUAGAGAGGGAGAAUCCUGCCCUCGGAAUCUAGAAUAUUUGCUCUUAUCUUAAUAAGGUGAGAAUAAAUAAAAUUUUGGUGUUAUCUUCAAUGAUGGUAAUGACACAGGUAACCGAAUACCUAGAAUGCAGUUGCCUUCCUCUGCCAAAAUAAGUAAGAGGCUUUCUCCACUUUACUGGAGAAUUUUGACAUUUAUAUUCAGGAUAUUAAUUCGAUAUAGAAGCUGAUGGCAAGAAAAAGUUCCUUUUACCAUGUUUUGACUUACUUAUUGUAAAGAUUAGCUGGCAGAUCGAGUAUUAAAUCAACUCUGGGCAUUACUGGAGGAUAUUUCUAUUUAGGAUUGCUAAUAAAAAAGCCAAAACCUGGUUUUAGGGUGUUCAUUGCUUUGGCAUUUCUGUGCUCUCUAGAAGUUAACUGUAAUGCAAAUAGAAAAAGAAUACUCAUUAAGUUUUAUUAAUUAUAGCAUAGGUAAAUCUAUUUGACAUGCAAUUAAUAUCACACAAGAAACAAAUGCUGUUAUAUUUUCUAACAUUGGAAUAAUAGUGAAAAUUUAUAUAACAUGCAUUUAAAGGGUAUUUAAAAAUGAAGCUGAUUUAAAUUGAAAUUUAACAGUGAAAAGUUAUUAACUGGUUAUGUGACAUCAAUGUGUAACUGAAAGAUUUAGGUAAGUCAUUAGACUGGUAC